GCGUAGCGACUGCGGAGACAUUACCGAGUUGAUUCGGGCUCCGGCCCGAUCCUCCCACCCUUUGUGUACCUACCUCUGUUGCUUUGGCGGGCCGCGGUCCUCCGCGGCCGCCCCCCUCCCCGGGGGGGUGGCCAGCGCCCGCCAGAGGACCAUCAAACUCCAGUCAGUAAACGAUGCAGUCUGAAAAACAUUUAAUAAACUAAAACUUUCAACAACGGAUCUCUUGGUUCUGGCAUCGAUGAAGAACGCAGCGAAAUGCGAUAAGUAAUGUGAAUUGCAGAAUUCAGUGAAUCAUCGAAUCUUUGAACGCACAUUGCGCCCUUUGGUAUUCCGAAGGGCAUGCCUGUUCGAGCGUCAUUACAACCCUCAAGCUCUGCUUGGUAUUGGGCACCGUCCUUUGCGGGCGCGCCUCAAAGACCUCGGCGGUGGCGUCUUGCCUCAAGCGUAGUAGAACAUACAUCUCGCUUCGGAGCGCAGGGCGUCGCCCGCCGGACGAACCUUCUGAACUUUUCUCAAGGUUGACCUCGGAUCAGGUAGGGAUACCCGCUGAACUUAAGCAUAUCAAAA
rnacentral:rRNA from 1 species